CACAGUUAUGGCAACCACCGAGUGGAAUAUUGAUGACCAACGAUAUAAGUGAUACAAAUCCAGAAGAUGCUGUCCCAUGCUUUGCACUUUCAAAGAAUGACUCUUAUGUCAUGUCUGCCUCCGGGGGGAAAAUAUCCCUAUUCAAUAUGAUGACGUUUAAGACAAUGACAACAUUCAUGCCCCCACCACCAGCAGCGACAUUUUUGGCAUUCCAUCCCCAGGAUAACAAUAUUAUUGCGAUAGGCAUGGAGGACUCUUCUAUUCAGAUUUAUAAUGUUCGAGUUGACGAGGUGA
rnacentral:misc_RNA from 1 species